rnacentral:rRNA from 1 species
UUAAAUUGAAGAGUUUGAUCAUGGCUCAGAUUGAACGCUGGCGGCAGGCCUAACACAUGCAAGUCGAACGGUAACAGGAAGCAGCUUGCUGCUUUGCUGACGAGUGGCGGACGGGUGAGUAAUGUCUGGGAAACUGCCUGAUGGAGGGGGAUAACUACUGGAAACGGUGGCUAAUACCGCAUAACGUCGCAAGACCAAAGAGGGGGACCUUCGGGCCUCUUGCCAUCAGAUGUGCCCAGAUGGGAUUAGCUUGUUGGUGAGGUAACGGCUCACCAAGGCGACGAUCCCUAGCUGGUCUGAGAGGAUGACCAGCCACACUGGAACUGAGACACGGUCCAGACUCCUACGGGAGGCAGCAGUGGGGAAUAUUGCACAAUGGGCGCAAGCCUGAUGCAGCCAUGCCGCGUGUAUGAAGAAGGCCUUCGGGUUGUAAAGUACUUUCAGCGGGGAGGAAGGUGUUGUGGUUAAUAACCGCAGCAAUUGACGUUACCCGCAGAAGAAGCACCGGCUAACUCCGUGCCAGCAGCCGCGGUAAUACGGAGGGUGCAAGCGUUAAUCGGAAUUACUGGGCGUAAAGCGCACGCAGGCGGUCUGUCAAGUCGGAUGUGAAAUCCCCGGGCUCAACCUGGGAACUGCAUUCGAAACUGGCAGGCUUGAGUCUUGUAGAGGGGGGUAGAAUUCCAGGUGUAGCGGUGAAAUGCGUAGAGAUCUGGAGGAAUACCGGUGGCGAAGGCGGCCCCCUGGACAAAGACUGACGCUCAGGUGCGAAAGCGUGGGGAGCAAACAGGAUUAGAUACCCUGGUAGUCCACGCCGUAAACGAUGUCUACUUGGAGGUUGUGCCCUUGAGGCGUGGCUUCCGGAGCUAACGCGUUAAGUAGACCGCCUGGGGAGUACGGCCGCAAGGUUAAAACUCAAAUGAAUUGACGGGGGCCCGCACAAGCGGUGGAGCAUGUGGUUUAAUUCGAUGCAACGCGAAGAACCUUACCUGGUCUUGACAUCCACGGAAGUUUUCAGAGAUGGAUUGGUGCCUUCGGGAACCGUGAGACAGGUGCUGCAUGGCUGUCGUCAGCUCGUGUUGUGAAAUGUUGGGUUAAGUCCCGCAACGAGCGCAACCCUUAUCCUUUGUUGCCAGCGGUCCGGCCGGGAACUCAAAGGAGACUGCCAGUGAUAAACUGGAGGAAGGUGGGGAUGACGUCAAGUCAUCAUGGCCCUUACGACCAGGGCUACACACGUGCUACAAUGGCGCAUACAAAGAGAAGCGACCUCGCGAGAGCAAGCGGACCUCAUAAAGUGCGUCGUAGUCCGGAUUGGAGUCUGCAACUCGACUCCAUGAAGUCGGAAUCGCUAGUAAUCGUGGAUCAGAAUGCCACGGUGAAUACGUUCCCGGGCCUUGUACACACCGCCCGUCACACCAUGGGAGUGGGUUGCAAAAGAAGUAGGUAGCUUAACCUUCGGGAGGGCGCUUACCACUUUGUGAUUCAUGACUGGGGUGAAGUCGUAACAAGGUAACCGUAGGGGAACCUGCGGUUGGAUCACCUCCUUACCUUAAAGAA